rnacentral:rRNA from 1 species
GACGAACGCUGGCGGCGUGCCUAAUACAUGCAAGUAGAACGCUGAAGGAGGAGCUUGCUUCUCUGGAUGAGUUGCGAACGGGUGAGUAACGCGUAGGUAACCUGCCUGGUAGCGGGGGAUAACUAUUGGAAACGAUAGCUAAUACCGCAUAAGAGUAGAUGUUGCAUGACAUUUGCUUAAAAGGUGCAUUUGCAUCACUACCAGAUGGACUUGCGUUGUAUUAGCUAGUUGGUGGGGUAACGGCUCACCAAGGCGACGAUACAUAGCCGACCUGAGAGGGUGAUCGGCCACCCUGGGACUGAGACACGGCCCAGACUCCUACGGGAGGCAGCAGUAGGGAAUCUUCGGCAAUAGACGGAAGUCUGACCGAGCAACGCCGCGUGAGUGAAGAAGGUUUUCGGAUCGUAAAGCUCUGUUGUAAGGGAAGAACGAGUGUGAGAGUGGAAAGUUCACACUGUGACGGUAUCUUACCAGAAAGGGACGGCUAACUACGUG